UACGUAGGUGGCAAGCGUUGUCCGGAUUUAUUGGGUUUAAAGGGUGCGUAGGCGGCCUAUUAAGUCAGUGGUGAAAUAUUUCAGCUCAACUGGAAUUGUGCCAUUGAUACUGAUGGGCUUGAGUACAGAUGAGGUAGGCGGAAUUGACGGUGUAGCGGUGAAAUGCUUAGAUAUCGUCAAGAACACCUAUAGCGAAGGCAGCUUACUAGGCUGUAACUGACGCUGAGGCACGAAAGUGUGGGGAUCAAACAGG
rnacentral:rRNA from 2 species